rfam:Myotis brandtii contig286459, whole genome shotgun sequence.
GGCAGUUCUCAGGUGAUGCACCCCAGAAUUGGGCUCCCUCCUCUCUGGUUUCGGGUGUGUCAGCUCGGAGAACUACA